AAGCUCGUAGUUGAAUUUCGGGAUCAAUUUAUUGGUCGUGCAAUAGUACGUACUGGUAUUAUUGAUUCCUACCUUCUGACGAACCAUGAUGUCAUUAAUUUGGUGUCAUGGGGAAUCAGGACUGUUACUUUGAAAAAAUUAGAGUGUUUAAAGCAGGCUCACGCUUGAAUACAUUUGCAUGGAAUAACGAGAUAGGACGUUUGAUUUUAUUUUGUUGGUUUCUAGGAUCGACGUAAUGAUUAAUAGGGAUAGUUGGG
rnacentral:rRNA from 1 species